rnacentral:lncRNA from 12 species
UAUAUACAUGAAGACUUGCUGUGUAUUCAGUGUGGCACAUGGAUGGAGUGGAUGCUUUGAGCUGCUUUUGCAACAAUGGAUUCUGCUUGACUGAUAAUGAAGCCAUGGGAUAGACCUCAGGGAGUGGUAAAGAGAUGAGGGAUGCUGAGGUCACUGUGCCAUGUGGACAUCAACUGAAUGUGCCAAAGAAUCUGAACAUGAGUCUUCUCACACCAGGGGAGUUGUGCCUGUGCCAGGGAUGGAUGAGUCUGGACUGGGUCCUCAGACUUCCAGGCAGCUGUGAAGAUAUCGGGUUAUACCAGUGGAUGCUGUCCCUGAAGAAAGGAGAAUUUAAGGGUAAGCAUGUUUAUUCAUCCAUGUUAUGGGUUGGGUUUUUUGUUUGGGUGGGUUUUUUGUUUGUUUGUUUGUUUGUUUGUUUUUGUUUGUUUUUUAUUGAGUUUCUAUUUAGAACUAAGCAUUUCAUUCCCUUGCCUGGACUUGUAAAGUGACAUUUAGGUUGUUUUUAA